rnacentral:rRNA from 1 species
AGAGUUUGAUCCUGGCUCAGGACGAACGCUGGCGGCGUGCUUAACACAUGCAAGUCGAGCGAUGAAACACCUUCGGGUGUGAAUUAGCGGCGAACGGGUGAGGAACACGUGAAGAAUCUGCCUUCAACUCUGGGAUAACUCCGGGAAACCGGGGCUAAUACCGGAUAUGAGCCUCGAUCGCAUGAUUGGGGCUGGAAAGUUUUUCGGUUGAAGAUGACUUCGCGGCCUAUCAGCUUGUUGGUGAGGUAAUGGCUCACCAAGGCGACGACGGGUAGCCGGCCUGAGAGGGCGACCGGCCACACUGGGACUGAGACACGGCCCAGACUCCUACGGGAGGCAGCAGUGGGGAAUAUUGGGCAAUGGAGGAAACUCUGACCCAGCGACGCCGCGUGAGGGAUGAAGGCCUUCGGGUUGUAAACCUCUUUCAGUAGGGAAGAAGCGAAAGUGACGGUACCUACAGAAGAAGCACCGGCUAACUAUGUGCCAGCAGCCGCGGUAAUACAUAGGGUGCAAGCGUUGUCCGGAAUUAUUGGGCGUAAAGAGCUCGUAGGUGGUUCGAUACGUCGGAUGUGAAAAUCAGGGGCUCAACCCCUGACCUGCAUCCGAUACGGUCGAGCUAGAGUUUGGUAGGGGAGACUGGAAUUCCUGGUGUAGCGGUGGAAUGCGCAGAUAUCAGGAGGAACACCGAUGGCGAAGGCAGGUCUCUGGGCCAAUACUGACACUGAGGAGCGAAAGCGUGGGGAGCGAACAGGAUUAGAUACCCUGGUAGUCCACGCCGUAAACGGUGGGCGCUAGUUGUGCGAACCUUCCACGGUUUGUGCGACGCAGCAACGCAUAAGCGCCC